GGUCAACCAGUCCAACUUCUCAUGUUUCAGAAGAGGAAAGCAAGGUCUGGAGAGGGAACGUGGCUUGCCCAAGAUAUGUUUCAAACUUUGAUGAAAAGCAGGGAAGUUUGGGAAGAAAAUCCAAGACUUCUCUGGAGAGAGAUACCAGCCUGGAAGACAACGGAGCUGUCAUUCUGUUAAAAAAUUAAGAGAAGUACGCAGAACCUGCCUUUUUCUAAAUGAGAAGCUUUGGAAGCGACUGGACACUUUUGGCCAUUGCAGUCCACAGGUAGCCUCUCUGGGGGCAAUAGACAGACUUUUUCACUUCUUGUAUUUACUCCCCAAAUGCUUGAUUACAUAGCUUGUCACCUGUCAGGGGGGCCAGCUAGCUAGUUGCUGGGUUGAGUGGUUAAUCCAAUGAUUUGUAUAGCUGGCUCACUAAGGAAAUCAUAGGUACUCAAUAUAUAGCUACUGAACAAUUCAAUGAAUGAUUGAAUUAGUUAUCAUUUAACCUAUUGGCUGGGAAGUGCUGAAAGAAUUCAAACCCUCUUAAUAUGCUUCAAGUCCAGCCUGCACUCUCUACCUUCAGGGAUCCCUGCUGGGCCACUUGGCCCUUGCUCCUUUCUCCAGCAGAAAUCAUCCCCCCUGUACCCCUUUCUCCACUCCCACAUUCCCUUAUGGCCUGGUACAGACCACUGCUGUAUUAUCUGAGUCAUUAGCAUAGCCCUGAUGCCAUUUGUUUAUUUGUCUGACUUCCUCACUUGACUCUGAGCUCUCUGCAACAAGGUUUUGCAUGUUGUUCAAUUUAAAAAAUCUGCCUCUAAGGUUAUAAGCAGAGCCCAGGACAUAUCUAUUCAACAUGACAUUUCAUAGGGGUUCAGCAAAUGUUUGCAAACAAACAAAAAAGGAAUGCAGGACAAGGAUAUUUUGAGUACCAAUGAGCCAUCCAGCCCUGAGCUAGGUUCAGUCUCUGAAGGCAUGAAGAAGGAACCACAGGAGAAUUAACAUAACUCUCACCACGCUUCAUUGCAAUCCAUCGUUUACUUGUUUCUUUUCAC
rnacentral:lncRNA from 10 species